CAUUUUUCUUUUCUUCUCCUUCCUCCCCGUGCGUUCUCCUUCCCGUUCGCAGCAACCGCCGCCCCAUCUAUUUUCCUUCCGUUCGUGCGCAGCCGCAGCCCAACCGCCGAUCCUUUCUCCUCCAUUUUCUUCCCGCCGCAGCCAGCCGCCAUCUCUGUUCGCGAAGCAAGGCCGCCGCGUGAACCUGUAACCGCCGGCUGUCUCCCCUCUCCUUUCUCCUCUGUUUUCAGCCCAGCCGCCGCCGAUUCAUUCUCCUCCGUUGUCUGCACUGCCGCGCGACUCUCCGACCAUCUGUAUACGGUCUCUCCGUCGCACGUCAUCUCUUCGCAAAGCCACUGCUCGAUUUCUUUCGCGAAGAUUUGGGUUCGUUCUUCAUAGACUUCAACGUGGUUAAGGAGCUUAACAAAUUUGAAGGCAAAGGUAAUAAAGGUGGCAAACCGGCGAGGGGCAGGAAGGAAGCGUGAUGCCAUAGGAAACGUGUAAUUGCUUCCGCUUAAUUAAGAUUGAUUUGAAAUUUAAUUUACAAACGUUUGUUGUAAACAGUAUUAUUUUAUGUUUUCUUGAAUGUUUAAAAAUCA